GUUGCAUGGUGUACCGAAGGUUCGAUUCUUUUUCGAUACUACGUCAUCACAAACGAUUCGGUUCUUUAGCGUUCGAUGCUUUCGAUACUGUAUAUAGCCCAGUCACUAGCUUCAAAUGAGUCAAAUUAGUAGGCGCGAUUUGAUUCAGAUUCAGAUAAACUUAGUGUUCUGAACAAAUGAAUCGAUUCACGCGCAAGCCAGCAGAGCAGCAGCGAGUGUAGAAUGGCGACGGCUAAAAUAACAGAUGUCUCUCGUCCGCGACUUGUGGACAAAACGGGCGCGAGGAGUGAAGUGUGGGAAAAUAGUCUGAGAUGUAGGCAUCUGUUUUUUAUUGAUAUUUUUAUUUUUAAAUAAAAUAACGAAAAUAACGAAAACUGAAAGUGAAACUAAACUACUUUAUUAGCGCUGUUUUCACUCCCGCAGUUGUACAGCAGGGGGGUGUUGUGCCGAUUCUGUCCGCGAAGCGGGAGUCGGAUUCAGUAGCGGAUUCGGCACAAGCGCGGCGGCACCUCGCGGUCCGCGGUGUUAGUUGUAAGCGCUCGCGCUAGCCGCAAAAUAUGACAGAAAACACUGAGAAACUGCAGAAUUAUGUGUGGGACUAGAAUAUGAGCACGAGGAGAUCAAAGAGAACCUUUACCUGUGAGUAGCUCACAUCAGAACACGCAAAUCUCUCUCACUCUCGCUGUGUCUCUCUCUCUGUGUCUCUCUCUCUCGCACGUGAACGCCUCCGCGUUUGACCUGCAGCACUGUGUUUAGCUGUUCUUAAAAAUCAUUUUAAUUAAAUAAUAGUUCUAUGCUUCUAUGUUACAGUGUUAUUUAACAUAAUAGCAGACAAGCACCCUGAUCUCUACAAAGAGCUGAGAAGUCGACAGGUUAGUGGAGUUAGUCAAGAUACACUCUGUCUGUAGCUUUACUAAGAUUUACUAGCGACUGCUUAUUAAAAACGGUAAACGGUUGAUUAAUAAAACGGAGCAGUGAGUGUUAAAAUGAACAUAACAUUGUAAUGUUCUUCUGUCUCUUUAUUUUCCUUAUUCAGAACUUAACUUCUGCCCGCCCGUCAGGUUCACAUAGUCAGGCUACCAUUACCUCUGGUUUUAGUUUUAGUUUUUAGGAAGUGUUUAGAUAAUUAUGUUAUAGUUAAGGUUAUAAUAACGAAACUUGUUUUUUGUUCAAAUGUUUCAUUUUAGAAUAAAAACGUUUGCACCUAUUGUUCAGUGUUCAAUCCAGUUCAGUCAAAAAUAAACAUUUUAUGUUCAGAUAUUUUUAUUGUUUUUUUUUUUUCUUCCAAGUAUCGUUUUGGUAUCGAGAAUCGUGAUACUACAGUUGGUAUCGGUAUCGAAGUCAAAAU